AUUAUAAUUUUCUUUUUUUUUUUAAAUAUGUCCAACAAAAAUAACACUUUAUAGAGACGGGAGAGACAAUUAUUUAAUGUAGUAUAUCAGAAAUACAAGUACGUUAAUAUGGCUGUGUAUGUUCCCGAAGAUGCGACAUGUGUAAACUCAUAAUGUAAAUAUCAAAGUGUCUGUUUGUUUGUAUAAUUUUGAUUUUUGAUUUUACUAAUUUAAUUUAAUUUAAUUUAAUCUUUUUAUCAAAAAGUAUCAAAUCAAACGUACAUUCAGUAUAUAUUUAUAUUGUAUUAAUUAAUUAUUUAAAAUCAAAAUUUAUGGUAUAUUUUUUUAUUAAGAAUAUUUUAAAAUAGUCUAUUUUUGUAUAUUUAGUCCUCCAGUGUUAAAAUAUCUACGUGACACCCGCCGCUGCAAAUCAAUAUCUAACAUAUAUUAUUUUUUUAUAUAAAUCAUAAAUAUAUUAUAAUAUAUAUUAUUCCCUCCGUCUCAUAUACUGUGUCUGCUAUACUAUAUACACGGUAUUUUAGGAGGGAUGUAAUUAGCAGAUAAUUAAAAAUGUAUUAGUGAAAAUAAUUAUCCUAAAUAUAAAUAAUUAUAAAUUAAGAUUAAGAUAACUAAUUAGUUUAAUUAAAAUUAAAAAUAAAAUUUAAAAAUUUAAAAUGAAAUCAAAGUGUGUAAUUAUUUAAAAAAAAGAAAAGUGAAACAGUAAGUGAGACGGACAGAAACGACAACUUGGACAUAUUAUUUGGGACGGAGGGAGUAUUAUAUAUAAUUAAAUUUAAAAUAAAUAACAAACUUAAAAAUAUAUAUAUAUAUAUAUAUUAAAAUGAUAAAAUGAUGGCCCUCAAAUUUUUUAUUUUUAGUGUAAACAAUUAUACUACUUUGAUCGAUUUUAAAAAUUUCAUUUACUUUAAUAAAAAAUUAUUUUUACAAAUUCUUUUAUAUAAAUAUAAAGAUAUUUUAAUAUUAAAUAUAAUAACUAAAAAAAUAAAAUGUUAGCUACCAAGAUGAGGAAGUACUAUCUUAGAGAAUCGUCCAAAAUGCAAAUAAUACUUUUUUUUUUUUAUAGGAAAUAGAAAUAAUAUUAAUUUUAUUGGUAAUUAUUAUUAUAAAAAACCCUGAUAGAAGAAUUAAUGGCAUCAAAAACUGCAUAUGCUCUAAAUACCGCGUCAAGUUCUACAGCCGCGCCUCCAAAAUUUUCAACUUCCGUUUAACCACCAAAAUUUCUAUUCCGAUUCCGAUUUCACGUGGACUUCGUGAGAAGCUAUGGAUGCCGCCGAUGCUCCUGGACAGGGUACAGUCACGUGCGCCGCCUGGAUUCGGCGGCCAGAGAGCGCGCACUUGGUGGUUCUCGCCAAAUCGGGGAAGCCGUCUUCUCUCGAAAUUUUCGCUUUCGAUUCUAAGACCGCCUCGCUCUCUGCUGCUCCCAAGGCAAGGUAUGAAUUUGGCAAAGGGACGAAUCCGGUGGGAAUUGCUGUGCAUCCUAGUGGAGACCAAUUCGUUUGUUCCAUCAACACUGGCGAUUUGAAAUUGUUCGAGGUAUAUGGUCAAGAAGACAAGGUUAAGCUCAGUGCUAAAGAUGAGAUUCUAUUGCAGGGUAUCGUCGGUCAGAAAAAAUGCUUAGCUUUUAGUGUUGACGGGACUAGAUUUGCUUCCGGUGGAGUUGAUGGAUGUCUUAGAAUAUUUGAGUGGCCGAGUAUGCGCAACAUUUUAGAUGAACCGAGAGCUCACAAGUCAAUUCAAGACAUGGAUUUUAGCUUGGACUCUGAAUUUUUGGCUUCGACAUCCACUGAUGGUUCAGCAAGAAUAUGGAAAACCAGCGAUGGCACUCCGGUUACAACCUUGACAAGGAACUCUGAUGAGAAGAUUGAAUUUUGUCGAUUUUCUAAGGACGGGACAAAGCCAUUCUUAUUUUGUUCUGUUCAACGAGGGAAUAAACCGCUGACAGUUGUUUGGGACAUAAGCACUUGGAAUAAAAUCGGGCACAAGAGAUUACUGCAAAAGCCAACUUCGAUUAUGGCUACUAGUUUGGAUGGAAAAUAUCUUGCUCUGGGAAGCAAGGAUGGAGAUGUAUGCGUGGUUGAAGUGAAGAAGAUGGAAGUCCGCCACUUGAGCAAGAGGCUGCACUUAGGCUCCAAUAUUUCAUCGUUGGAAUUUUGCCCGAGCGAAAGGGUAAUACUUACGACUUCCAACCAAUGGGGUCUAAUGGCUACAAAGCUCGCCGUCCCCGCCGACUGGAAAGAAUGGCAAAUAUAUUUACUCCUGCUGGGGCUGUUCUUGGCGUCCAUCGUUGCAUUCUACAUAUUCUUUGAGAAUUCGGAUUCAUUCUGGAACUUUCCGCUUCCCGCACACCACCCGGGAGGCGGCAAGAGCAUUUUCGAGAGCGAUCGGGUGCCGGCGACGGAGCCGAAUGUUUGGGGUCCCGUCGACCUUUGAACUCGGCCGUUGAGGAUUGUACAAUGUCAAGAGUAGAGCUGUUGAUGAUUCUGCGAAAACUUGUAUGAAUUAUGAAUUUGAGUGUUCUCGUGGAUCAGGAAAUCGACGGCGGAGAUUUGGCGAUGGAAUGAGAUUCACGAUAACCGUCAAGCAGUCCGGCCCCGAAAAGCUUCACACCUUUUUCUCGUCUUCCUAUAAAAGCCCGUCCACGUG